rnacentral:lncRNA from 1 species
UGGCAAUGCCUUAGAGGGAAGGAAGAGUGGGGUUUGCUAGUUAACUUUAUUUCCUGAAGAUCUUUGGCUGAUAAUAGUGAUCCUGUAAUAGUGAUUUCUGUAGCAUUUGAACAUUUCCAAAGUACCCACUUCUGAACAGCUUUGGGAGAUAGGGACUACAAGUAUAAUUAUUUUACAGCCUCCCUCUAUGCCCAUUAAUAAAUGAUAGCUUUCCCCUUCGAUCAACAUCAGGGAGUCGACAUUCAGGACUUCUGUUUCUUGUGAUUCAGGCAGCACAUCACUUGCCACAUGGAUGGAAGAGAAGUCUAAACCUAAAAAGACUUACACUUAGGAACUGGACUUUGUUGGAAUGGCUUUUGAACUAUUGAAACAAACUCUUCCCAGACGAUUUCACUGGAUGAUCAUCUUCAAUAAAUCCAUAAUUAAAACUCUAAUAAAAUAUUAG